rnacentral:misc_RNA from 1 species
AGCACACCUUGCACUGGGUCAAGCCUAUCAUAGCAGGUAUCACACACUCUCUGGGGGUUCUUCUCCCUAAACUUCAUGGGUAACAGGCACUUCCCUUUUGUGCAUGUCCUACAAAAAACUCCUCCACAAAACCGACAAUGAUGUCUUCCACGAGUAAAUGCUGUGAAAGGCGCAGUGCAUUGCAUACAAAUAGUUGUUGAACUGUCAGGAAGCCACUCUGGAGGCUCAGAUUCCAACACAUCCUUGUACGCACUGUAGUUAAAUGCACUUGGCUCAACUAGCGGUGGAGCACUUGGUAUGUAAACUGAUGAAUGCAAGAAGGUAUCUCCAUUUGUACCAGAUCCAAGAAAUGAAACAUUAGAACUAGGUAACUGCGGAACUGUAUUUGAAACCUGAACUUUAUUCUGCCCAGUAACAAUAGCAACUAGUCCACUCAAGACGUUUCUUAAAUUGACCUCAGGAGGCCCACUUUGCGGCACAAAGUUAUAUGGGACAUUACCAGAACCAUAGCUCCUAUCCAAUACAUCAUCAGAUUCGAUCAGUGGGUACCCAUGUGGAUAACUGUUACCUGCAGCAUGGGAAUCUUCUGAGACUCUACCCCAUGAAUCCUCAUCAACUUCAUCUUCAACAAAUUGAAAUUUCGUAUUGUCUUUUUCCAAAUUAGCAAGUGAAGAAUACACAACUUUUCCUUCAAAUUUCACCAUGUAUCCAGGAUAAUCAGUAUAACAUACAAACAACAGAUGGGCGGAUUUUGUUUGUUUGAUGAUCGGUGAUCGGAGGAAUGAAGAAAGGCGAUAAGAGGU